rnacentral:lncRNA from 1 species
AUUAUGAUUAUUUGCAUGAAAAUAAAAUUAUAGCUAGCCUAAGAAUAAUAUAAAGUUACAAUUUGACUUAAAUGUUAUACACACAUAUACACCGAUUCAAAGUACAGUUCCUACUUUCACCAAGGUCACAUGGAUAACUUUGACAAUCAGAAUUAUAUGCACAAACAUUCCAAAAGUCUGCAAUGUAAAACAAGAAUAAAUCAAAUGUAACUUAAAGGGGGUUAAAUAUUAAAUAUAAGGUAAAAAAGAAAACUUCCAAAAAUUAAGAUAAUGAAUUACCUUCAUAAGUUACAAAAAAUAGGGAAAGGAAGACGAUAAUAGAACUAGUAAACAAGAGAAUUUUAAACAUUUUCCUUACUUUGAAUGUAAGAAACGAAAAAUUGUUGAUUACUUCAUAGUGUUAAAACACCAUGAUCUGUGUACUACAAUUAAACAACUUUU